rnacentral:rRNA from 1 species
UGCCAGCCGCCGCGGUAAUACAGAGACCUCAAGCGUUAUCCGGAUUUAUUGGGCGUAAAGGGUUCGUAGGUGGUUUUGUAAGUCAUUCGUUAAAUCUUCAGGCUCAACCUGGAGGCAGCGGGUGAUACUGUAAAACUAGAGGAUGGGAGAGGCAGACGGAAUUGUUGGUGUAGCGGUAAAAUGCGUUAAUAUCAACAAGAACACCAAAGGCGAAGGCAGUCUGCUGGAACAUUCCUGACACUGAGGAACGAAAGCGUGGGUAGCGAAUGGGAUUAGAUA